rnacentral:rRNA from 1 species
GUGAGGAAUUUUCCGCAAUGGGCGAAAGCCUGACGGAGCAAUGCCGCGUGAAGGAUGCAGGCCUAUGGGUUGUAAACUUCUUUUCUCAGAAAAGAAUUAUGACGGUAUCUGAGGAAUAAGCAUCGGCUAACUCUGUGCCAGCAGCCGCGGUAAGACAAAGGAUGCAAGCGUUAUCCGGAAUGAUUGGGUGUAAAGCGACUGUAGGUUGUUUAAAAAGUCUUCUGUCAAAGAUUAGGACUUAACCCUAGAUAGGCAGAAUAAACUUUUAAGCUAGAAUUUGGUAGAGGCAUAGGGAAUGCCCGGUAGAGCGGGGAAAUGCGUAGAUAUCGGGAGGAACAGCAAAGGCGAAGGCACUCAUCUGGGUCAAUACUAACACUGAGAGACGAAAGCGAGGGGAGCAAAUGAGAUUAGAUACCCGUGUAGUCC